AUUCGACUGACGAGUCCCAAAUAGAACGAAACGUGUGUCCUGAAU
rnacentral:hammerhead_ribozyme from 1 species